AACGAACGCUGGCGGCAGGCUUAACACAUGCAAGUCGAACGCCCCGCAAGGGGAGUGGCAGACGGGUGAGUAACGCGUGGGAAUCUACCCAAUUCUACGGAACAACUGAGGGAAACUUCAGCUAAUACCGUAUACGCCCUACGGGGGAAAGAUUUAUCGGAGUUGGAUGAGCCCGCGUUGGAUUAGCUAGUUGGUGGGGUAAUGGCCUACCAAGGCGACGAUCCAUAGCUGGUCUGAGAGGAUGAUCAGCCACACUGGGACUGAGACACGGCCCAGACUCCUACGGGAGGCAGCAGUGGGGAAUAUUGGACAAUGGGCGAAAGCCUGAUCCAGCCAUGCCGCGUGAGUGAUGAAGGCCUUAGGGUUGUAAAGCUCUUUCAGUAGGGAAGAUAAUGACGGUACCUACAGAAGAAGCCCCGGCUAACUUCGUGCCAGCCGCCGCUGUAAAAC
rnacentral:rRNA from 1 species